rnacentral:tRNA from 1 species
UCCUGGGUAGCUCAGUUGGUAAAGCAUCUCCCUGCAAUGUGGGAGACCUGGGUUCAAUUCCUGGGUUGGGAA